rnacentral:rRNA from 1 species
UAAAGCUAAAUACUGGGCCAGAGACCGAUAGCGCACAAGUAGAGGGAUUGAAAGAUGAAAAGCACUUUGGAAAGAGAGUUAAAGCAGUACGUGAAAUUGUUGAAAGGGAAGCGCUUGCAACCAGACUUGCGCGCAGCCGAUCAUCCCGGUGUUCUCUCCGGUGCACUCGGUUGCGCUCAGGCCAGCAUCGGUUUCGGUGGAUGGAUAAAGGCCCGGGGAAUGUAGCUCCUCUCGGGGAGUGUUAUAGCCCUGGGUGCAAUGCAGCCUACCGGGACCGAGGACCGCGCUUCGGCUAGGAUGCUGGCGUAAUGGUUGUAAGCGACCCGUCUUGAAACACGGACCAAGGAGUCUAACAUCUAUGCGAGUGUUUGGGUGUCAAACCCAUACGCGUAAUGAAAGUGAACGGAGGUGAGAACCCUUAAGGGUGCAUCAUCGACCGAUCCUGAUGUCUUCGGAUGGAUUUGAGUAAGAGCAUAGCUGUUGGGACCCGAAAGAUGGUGAACUAUGCCUGAAUAGGGUGAAGCCAGAGGAAACUCUGGUGGAGGCUCGCAGCGGUUCUGACGUGCAAAUCGAUCGUCAAAUUUGGGUAUAGGGGCGAAAGACUAAUCGAACCAUUACACGGAUGUACCGCACCCCUCCGGGAGUGUCGUUACUAGGUGGUUGAGAGGCGGCUCAAAGUGCCGUCUAGUGGCAGUCGCACUGCAACACCGUCAAAUUGCGGGGACAUCCUACGAUGAAGUAUAGCUACCGCAGCCAGUCCGAAAGGGCUGGUGCGCACCAGGGUAAUGACCUCGGGGAUGGUAAGAACGCUAUAUGGAGGGACGAUCCGCAGCCAAGCCCUGUCGAAUGGGUGCAGUUCACAGACUAGAUGUCGGUGGGUGACCGCCUCCGCGGCGGUUGCUUAAGAUAUAGUCGAACCCUCGGGUAACCGAGCCGUUCGGAUGAAGCUACAGAGGUGCGAUUCCUGCGCCGCA